ACGGGUGAGUAAUGUCUGGGAAACUGCCCGAUGGAGGGGGAUAACUACUGGAAACGGUAGCUAAUACCGCAUAACGUCGCGAGACCAAAGUGGGGGACCUUCGGGCCUCACACCAUCGGAUGUGCCCAGAUGGGAUUAGCUAGUAGGUGGGGUAACGGCUCACCUAGGCGACGAUCCCUAGCUGGUCUGAGAGGAUGACCAGCCACACUGGAACUGAGACACGGUCCAGACUCCUACGGGAGGCAGCAGUGGGGAAUAUUGCACAAUGGGCGCAAGCCUGAUGCAGCCAUGCCGCGUGUAUGAAGAAGGCCUUCGGGUUGUAAAGUACUUUCAGCGGGGAGGAAGGCGACGUGGUUAAUAACCGCGUCGAUUGACGUUACCCGCAGAAGAAGCACCGGCUAACUCCGUGCCAGCAGCCGCGGUAAUACGGAGGGUGCAAGCGUUAAUCGGAAUUACUGGGCGUAAAGCGCACGCAGGCGGUCUGUCAAGUCGGAUGUGAAAUCCCCGGGCUUAACCUGGGAACUGCAUUCGAAACUGGCAGGCUAGAGUCUUGUAGAGGGGGGUAGAAUUCCAGGUGU
rnacentral:rRNA from 1 species